rnacentral:rRNA from 1 species
UACGUAGGCAGCGAGCGUUGUUCGGAGUUACUGGGCGUAAAGGGUGCGCAGGCGGUGGAGCAAGUCUGUUGUGAAAUCUCCCGGCUUAACCGGGAGGGUGCGGCGGAAACUGUUCUGCUGGAGUGAGGGAGAGGCAAGCGGAAUUCCUGGUGUAGCGGUGAAAUGCGCAGAUAUCAGGAGGAACACCGGUGGCGAAGGCGGUUCUCUGGGAAUGUCCUGACGCUGAGGAGCGAAAGUGUGGGGAGCGAACAGG